rnacentral:rRNA from 1 species
UACGUAGGGUGCAAGCGUUACUCGGAAUUACUGGGCGUAAAGCGUGCGCAGGCGGUUUUGUAAGUCUGUCGGGAAAUCCCCGGGCUUAACCUGGGAAUUGCGAUGGAGACUGCAAGGCUAGAAUCUGGCAGAGGGGGGUAGAAUUCCACGUGUAGCAGUGAAAUGCGUAGAGAUGUGGAGGAACACCGAUGGCGAAGGCAGCCCCCUGGGUCAAGAUUGACGCUCAUGCACGAAAGCGUGGGGAGCAAACAGG